CGCGGGAUGGAGCAGUUUGGUAGCUCGUCGGGCUCAUAACCCGGAGGCCGUGGGUUCAAAUCCCUCUCCCGCAACCA
rnacentral:tRNA from 1 species